CUUCUUGCACAGAUGAGAAACUGGAGCUUCAGGCAGAUUACAUGGCCUAAAUCCCUCUGGAAUUAGCACUGUGCUCUGAACUACCUGCAAACCAGGAAGCUGAUACAGAAACACAGUUGAAGUCUUCAGAGUGCAUCUGCAGUGACCAAUCUCAGCUCAUGCAAGGGGGUACUACUAGACUGCACAUAUAUCUUAAUGGACAAAAAUUAUCUCCAUUAGAAAUGUGGCUGCACUGGAAUAAUUUGUGAGGCAUUGGAGUGGUGUGUCAAUUGGGGAAAAAUGCUAUUUUUCGUUAAGUUCAAGGAUUUGAUAACAGCAUGAAGGUUGCAAAUCAGCAAAUAACAGAAAACGAAGGCACCUUAUGCUUUGAUUUUGUGGACAACACAGAUGUACGAAGGGGGAGGAAGUGCAUCAAGAGGGUGACAGAGGUGAGGGAUGGGAGGUGUGAUGAGGAAGAAAGAGAGAAAGGGGAGGGGGGAGAAAGAGAGAAUAGGAAUCAUAGAGAUAGAGUGAGCGGCAGGCCUUGUAUUAGGCCAGAUAUUUCCUUAUCUCUUCAUUCUCCCAACUUGACAUGUAACUGUCAGU
rnacentral:lncRNA from 1 species